rnacentral:rRNA from 1 species
UACGGAGGAUGCGAGCGUUAUCCGGAUUUAUUGGGUUUAAAGGGUGCGUAGGCUGUCGGAUAAGUUAGAGGUCAAAUGUCGGGGCUUAACCCCGUGCCUGCCUCUGAUACUGUUCGACUGGAGAGCGGAUGCAGCAGGCGGAAUGAGUAGUGUAGCGGUGAAAUGCUUAGAUAUCACGAAGAACUCCGAUUGCGAAGGCAGCCUGCUGGACUGUAACUGACGCUGAUGCUCGAAAGUGUGGGGAGCAAACAGG